UACGUAGGGGGCAAGCGUUGUCCGGAAUCAUUGGGCGUAAAGCGCGUGUAGGCGGCCCGGUAAGUCCGCUGUGAAAGUCCAGGGCUCAACCCUGGAAUGCCGGUGGAUACUGUCGGGCUCGAGUCCGGAAGAGGCGAGCGGAAUUCCCGGUGUAGCGGUGAAAUGCGCAGAUAUCGGGAGGAACACCGGUGGCGAAGGCGGGUCUCUGGGCCGUAACUGACGCUGAGGAGCGAAAGCGUGGGGAGCGAACAGG
rnacentral:rRNA from 1 species